AAAUCCUUAUAAACAAUGGUUGUCACAACGAGACUAUCCUUACACAUAAGAGAAAGAGUCUUCAUGAAGGAGAACUCAUGGGACAAAUUAGAGUUGAUAAAACUCUAGAGCUUUUAAAAGGAAAACUUUUGUCCCCCAUGAGAAAAGAAGUUCAAAGACAUUACCUUAGGUACAAUUCUUGUUUUCAAACUACACCCAAGGCAAUCUCUCAUGAACUCUAUACUCCUUCACCUUUUGCAAAUGAUCAUU
rnacentral:lncRNA from 1 species